rnacentral:tRNA from 1 species
GGGGAGGUGGCUGAGUGGUCAAAAGCAGCAGACUGUAAAUCUGCCGGCGAUAGCCUACGUAGGUUCGAAUCCUGCCCUCCCCA